rnacentral:misc_RNA from 1 species
AAAGUCGUAACAAGGUCUCCGUUGGUGAACCAGCGGAGGGAUCAUUAGCGAGUUAUAAACUCCCAACCCUCGUGGACAUACUUAUUGUUGCUUCGGCGGCGCGCCGGCAUUCGCUGGCGCCGCCCUCCCCGCUUGCGGGGUUGGCACCCGCCGAAGGCACGCAACCAAAACCUGGCUUCAGCGUCGAAUUCUGAGUGGACUACUAAAUAAGUCAAAACUUUCAGCAACGGAUCUCUUGGUUCUG